GUUGAGGAGCCUCCUAUGUCGCCAUCUUGAACUGGAGCAUCUAUAUUUUUAAAAAAUCUCCCCAGAUAAUUCUCACUUGCUGCCAGGGUUGAGGAUCAUUGUUCCAGAUUCUCGUCUAAAGCGCCGGGGUAGAAAGUUUCCUGUGGUGUCCACAACCUGAGGCCUGUUUCCCGCGAUUCUUUUCAACGGUCGGAGAAAGGAGGGUUCGCCCUUGCAUUCGGGCAGCCGCGUUUCUGAAAUUUGGGAAGUGGACUCGCCUCCUUCCUCAGGCAGAGCCAGCCACGGCCUUGUUUCCUUGGGAUCCCACAGGAAGAGGUGAUGCGAGCCCGAUUUCAAACGGGCCUCAUGCGGCCAGACCUGCGAUCUGACAAGCCAUUUAGACAUCCAAAAUUGCAAAACAAUAAUAACCGUCAGUUAACACAGGCCUUUCUGCAUGUUAGGCUCUGUUCUAAGGGCCUUCUGUUUAUUGACAAGGUAUUUCUCACGUGACAGAUGUGAUAAUGUAAUAAAAACACCAAAAAAUUCAGUUCCAUGACCACAUCUCCCAAACCCCUGAGCAAGAAGGGCUGUGUAGCAGAGGAGUAGAGGUGACCCGCAGCAGGGUUGCCUGGGGUCAGAUCUUGCUCCACCAUUCCCAAUUAGUGUGACCUGGGCCUAUUCCUUGACCUCUCUGUGCCUCCGCUAUAUGUGACAUGGGGGCUGAUAACAGUACCUACCUACAGGAUUGCUGAGGAAUUAAAUACGUUGAUUUCUAAAACACUUAGAACAGAACCAGCACACAGAAAGUAUUAUAUAAAUGUCUACCAUUCAUGUUCUUAUAAUUUUAGGGAAAAUUGGCUAAGAAAAGGCUAAUGAUUGAGUAUUAUCCAUAGUUUUUAUAGGUAAAACAGAAGACAGGCCUGUUGAUAUUACUGUCAAUGAAUCGAUAACUUCAUAUUGCCAUAUAAAUGGUAGUAGGAUGGAGUAGGGAGGAGCCCAGAUGUGAGCCAGGUUACCUGAGUUCAAAUUCUGGCUGCCACUUAUAAGCUGUGUGACCUUUGGCAAGUUGCUUGACCUCUCUGUGCUUCAGUUGCCAUGUGGGUAAAAUAGUGAUAAUAAUAACAGCUAUGACAGAGGAUGGUUGUGAGGUUUGAAUGAGCUAAGCCAUGGAAAGCAGUUAGUUGAAUGAGGUCUCGGGUUACAGUAAGUGCUACAUACCGGCUCCUGUAUGAAGAAGGGUAUUGUAGACAUUAUACUUUUUUUCUUUCACAUACUUAGCUUUCUUGUUUUUCUUUUUCUCUGGAUCAGUCCUCAUACGAUGGUAACUCCUUCCUCAAUGAGAUUUAAAGAGGUCUCUCCAACUUUUUUUAAGCAGCGUCCACACACAGCACAGUGUGACCUGUGCUUUGAGGAUUAGGAUACGAAUACAGACUCUGCCCCCGCAGAGCUCCUACGGUCUCAGGAAAGAUGCAAUGAGGAGUCACAGUGCAAUGGACAGUCUGAGAGAAAUGGCGGCACAGGAAGACAGGCUCCUCGAGGCUGGGCACAGAGACUCUGCCUGGAAGGAAGGAUGGCCGUGCAGAGCGGGUGACAUUUGGGCUGGGCCGUGAAGAGUAAGAUUUUGUCAGGUGGAGGAGACUAAAAUUAGAUAAAAACAGACAUUCUCAGUCUUUAGCAGUGCAUCUGCUGAAAGUUCCAAUGCUCUGAUCCUGUGGUUGGUUCUGGCACCUAGCUCCCUCCUGACACUGUGUAGGGGCCCAGCUCAUCAGCGCAUUAGCGUAAACUCAGGUGUGGUUGAAAGAGGCUCGUUAUGAAUAAAAGAUGCUCCUGUCACUCAGGAAAUUACAAGGGUUUUAGGAGCUCUGUGCCAGGAAUUAUAACGAAGAUCAAAUAUGUAUAUAUUUCUUCUUAUAUCACAAUAUCACUCACGAUUAGGUUGAAGUUACACAUUUUUGGCAAAAAUAAAACAGAAGAGAUGCGCCCUCCUCUGCAUAUCACGCCAGGGCAUAAAUGAUGUGCCUGUGUCUGUCUUAGUAACUGAUGC
rnacentral:lncRNA from 1 species